rnacentral:rRNA from 1 species
CCUACGGGAGGCAGCAGUGGGGAAUUUUGGACAAUGGGCGCAAGCCUGAUCCAGCCAUGCCGCGUGCGGGAAGAAGGCCUUCGGGUUGUAAACCGCUUUUGUCAGGGAAGAAAUCCUUUGGGUUAAUACCUCGGAGGGAUGACGGUACCUGAAGAAUAAGCACCGGCUAACUACGUGCCAGCAGCCGCGGUAAUACGUAGGGUGCGAGCGUUAAUCGGAAUUACUGGGCGUAAAGCGUGCGCAGGCGGUUAUGCAAGACAGAUGUGAAAUCCCCGGGCUCAACCUGGGAACUGCAUUUGUGACUGCAUAGCUAGAGUACGGUAGAGGGGGAUGGAAUUCCGCGUGUAGCAGUGAAAUGCGUAGAUAUGCGGAGGAACACCGAUGGCGAAGGCAAUCCCCUGGACCUGUACUGACGCUCAUGCACGAAAGCGUGGGGAGCAAACAGGAUUAGAUACCCUGGUAGUCCACGCCCUAAACGAUGUCAACUGGUUGUUGGACGGCUUGCUGUUCAGUAACGAAGCUAACGCGUGAAGUUGACCGCCUGGGGAGUCGGCCGCAAGGUUGAACUUAAGGAAUUGACCGGNUGAGAGNGCGAGACGACGACGAGGGAGGAGG